GUGGGGAAUUUUGGACAAUGGGCGCAAGCCUGAUCCAGCAAUGCCGCGUGCAGGAAGAAGGCCUUCGGGUUGUAAACUGCUUUUGUACGGAACGAAACGGUCCUGGUUAAUACCCGGGGCUAAUGACGGUACCGUAAGAAUAAGCACCGGCUAACUACGUGCCAGCAGCCGCGGUAAUACGUAGGGUGCAAGCGUUAAUCGGAAUUACUGGGCGUAAAGCGUGAGCAGGCGGUGCUGUAAGACAGGCGUGAAAUCCCCGGGCUUAGCCUGGGAAUUGCGCUUGUGACUGCAGUGCUGGAGUGCGGCAGAGGGGGAUGGAAUUCCGCGUGUAGCAGUGAAAUGCGUAGAUAUGCGGAGGAACACCGAUGGCGAAGGCAAUCCCCUGGGCCUGCACUGACGCUCAUGCACGAAAGCGUGGGGAGCAAACAGGAUUAGAAACCCUGGUAGUCC
rnacentral:rRNA from 1 species